rnacentral:lncRNA from 1 species
GCGGUGUCCCGGCUGAGCUAGGCUGCCGGCGCCGCGCGCCCGCCUCGUCCCCUCCUGUUCUGGCAGGGCGCGCGCACGGCGGCGCAGGCGCCAGAGCCCAGGACAAGGCGGGGACCCGGGCGGGGACCGGGGCGGGGGCGCGCGGGGGCCGGGGUGGGGGUGUCUCGCCGCGCGCGCCCUCCUCCCGCUCCUCCGGGUUCCUGGUCCCCAGCCUGUGGGGGGCUUGGGCUGUAGCGCUGGGGCGGGGGCUUUAGAUCACCCCGAAAACAGGACCUCUGGCGACCUUCUCGUUUUCCACCGGGAGCGGAGAGAGCCGAUCUCCUUUUCCUGCUAGCCCCGUAGGACAGUCCCCGGAGCAGCUCAUAGGAAUAUGACGAACGUUUACUCAGGGCUGGUUACUAUGUACACUGCGCCCCGCGCGCGGCGAGUUUACCUCGGUUCACCUCCCGGCAACCGGCGGCCCGGAUAUUAUCAGAUGCUGUGGGCUUCCCGGCGCCUCAUUGCCCGAGGAGAGGCGGCCGCAGGUAGCUGAGCUGGAGCUAGCACAAGUUGAAUUCACCAAAUAGAAGACAUUGGAAAUGAGACCCGAGGGUUGGAGGAGGAGGAAGCCUGCAAUGUGAACACGAUGGCUGGAGCUCCGGCAGCCAUUCUGGACCAGGAGGUAGCCUUGAAGAUGGAAGCCACAUGUUGGGAUGGUGAAUCCAAAAGAUGAGGAGCCUGUAUCCCCUGUGACACCAGAACUGCCAUACCAGCCCUGGGUUCCUCCAUCUAUACUGCCUUCAUAUGGUAAAGAAAUAUUCUUGGAUCUUGUUAGGUGUCUGUUGCAGCCAAACACAAUCCCAACUGAUAUUCACUGUAAAUGAUUCCAUGGCUCCCUGUAGUACUUCUACAAAGCAUCUAUCACAAUUGUAAUUAAUAAAAUAAUUAUGCAAUUACUGGUUUAAUGCCUAAGUCCCAAGUAGAAUAUCAGUUCCAUGGGGGCAGGGAUUAGUCUGUUCAUGGAUGUAUUCCCAGCUCCUGUAACAACAUCUGGUUCUGGUAGGUGGUAAGUGCACAAUAAAUGUAGCAGAGUGAAAGGUUGAGAGGAAACGGAGCUGCUUCUGAUGAGGAG